rnacentral:SRP_RNA from 1 species
GCCGGGCGUGGUGGCGCGCGCCUGUAGUCCCAGCUACUCGGGAGGCUGAGGUGGGAGGAUCGCUUGAGUCCAGGAGUUCUGGGCUGCAGUGCGCUAUGCCGAUCGAGUGUCCGCACUAAGUUCGGCAUCAAUAUGGUGACCUCCCGGGAGCGGGGGACCACGAGGUUGCCUAAGGAAGGGUGAACCGGCCCAGGUCGGAAACGGAGCAGGUCAAAACUCCCGUGCUGAUCAGUAGUGGGAUCGCGCCUGUGAAUAGCCACUGUACUCCAGCCUGGGCAACAUAGUGAGACCCCUUCUCU